rnacentral:rRNA from 1 species
ACCUACGGGGGGCAGCAGUAGGGAAUUUUCGUCAAUGGGCGCAAGCCUGAACGAGCAAUGCCGCGUGAACGAGGAAGGUCUUCGGAUCGUAAAGUUCUGUUGAAGGGGAAAAAGAGCGGAGAGAGGAAAUGCUUUCUGAUUGAUAUUACCCUUCGAGGAAGUCACGGCUAACUACGUGCCAGCAGCCGCGGUAAUACGUAGGUGGCGAGCGUUAUCCGGAAUGAUUGGGCGUAAAGGGUGCGUAGGCGGCCUGCUAAGUCUGGAGUGAAAGGUACUGGCUCAACCGGUACAGGCUCUGGAAACUG